rnacentral:misc_RNA from 1 species
GGUGCUUUGUGUUUAGUUUGUAUAGGCAAGGCAAGGAAAGAAUCCAAAUCGAAAACACACAGCAGAUUCAUACACAGAUUAGAUAAGGAGAGAGCGGUGAGGAUGAUGAUGCUCAAGUUGAUGAAGACACCAAAUUUUCUGUGCAUUUGUUGAGAUGGGUAGAUUUUUAUCAUUGUUAUUAUUCACCAACUCUAAGCUGCCAUUAUCAUUGAGUCGCUGCUUUCACUUGGGAUCUAAUUCUACCCUCAUCACCAUCACCAAUUCACCUUCCUUUUUGCGCUUCUCUAAGCGCCCUUCCCGACCAUGAACCUCUCUCUCAUCCCCUCUCUUGGAUCUCCCUCGCAGAUCCUUCUUCAAUU